rnacentral:rRNA from 1 species
GGACGAACGCUGGCGGCGUGCCUAAUACAUGCAAGUCGAGCGAGGUUAUAGUUAUGGAUCCUUCGGGAUGAAGCAGUUAUAACCUAGCGGCGGACGGGUGAGUAACGCGUGGGUAACCUGCCCUAGAGUCUGGGAUAACACCGGGAAACCGGUGCUAAUACCGGAUAUCUUUUGGAUAAGGCAUCUUGUUCAAAAGAAAGGAAAACGCUCUAGGAUGGACCUGCGUCCCAUUAGCUAGUUGGUGAGGUAACGGCCCACCAAGGCAACGAUGGGUAGCCGGCCUGAGAGGGUGAACGGCCACACUGGGACUGAGACACGGCCCAGACUCCUACGGGAGGCAGCAGUAGGGAAUAUUGCGCAAUGGGGGAAACCCUGACGCAGCGACGCCGCGUGAGUGAUGAAGGCCUUCGGGUUGUAAAACUCUGUCCUCAGGGAAGAAACAAAUGACGGUACCUGAGGAGGAAGCCCCGGCUAACUACGUGCCAGCAGCCGC